rnacentral:rRNA from 1 species
UACGGAGGGUGCGAACGUUGCUCGGAAUUACUGGGCGUAAAGCGCUCGUAGGCGGUUUGUCAAGUCAGAUGUGAAAUCCCCGGGCUUAACUUGGGAAGUGCAUUUGAAACUGGCAAGCUGGAGGAUGGGAGGGGGUAGCGGAAUUCCCGGUGUAGAGGUGAAAUUCGUAGAUAUCGGGAGGAACACCAGAGGCGAAGGCGGCUACCUGGACCAUACCUGACGCUGAGGAGCGAAAGCGUGGGGAGCAAACAGG